AUUGAACGCUGGCGGCAUGCUUUACACAUGCAAGUCGAACGGCAGCGCGGGGCAACCUGGCGGCGAGUGGCGAACGGGUGAGUAAUAUAUCGGAACGUACCCAGAAGUGGGGGAUAACGUAGCGAAAGUUACGCUAAUACCGCAUACGAUCUACGGAUGAAAGUGGGGGACCUUCGGGCCUCAUGCUUGUGGAGCGGCCGAUAUCUGAUUAGCUAGUUGGUGGGGUAAAGGCCCACCAAGGCGACGAUCAGUAGCUGGUCUGAGAGGACGACCAGCCACACUGGGACUGAGACACGGCCCAGACUCCUACGGGAGGCAGCAGUGGGGAAUUUUGGACAAUGGGCGCGAGCCUGAUCCAGCAAUGCCGCGUGAGUGAAGAAGGCCUUCGGGUUGUAAAGCUCUUUUGUCAGGGAAGAAACGGGACUGGAUAAUACCUGGUCCUAAUGACGGUACCUGAAGAAUAAGCACCGGCUAACUAUGUGCCAGCCGCCGCCGUAA
rnacentral:rRNA from 1 species